UACGUAGGGGGCAAGCGUUGUCCGGAAUCAUUGGGCGUAAAGAGCGCGUAGGCGGCCCUGUAAGUCCGCUGUGAAAGUCAAGGGCUCAACCCUUGGAUGCCGGUGGAUACUGCAGGGCUAGAGUCCGGAAGAGGCGAGUGGAAUUCCUGGUGUAGCGGUGAAAUGCGUAGAUAUCGGGAGGAACACCUGUGGCGAAAGCGGCGCACUGGACCACAACUGACGCUGAGGCGCGAAAGCUAGGGGAGCAAACGGG
rnacentral:rRNA from 1 species